rnacentral:misc_RNA from 1 species
GAAAUGCGAUAAGUAGUGUGAAUUGCAGAAUUCAGUGAACCAUCGAGUCUUUGAACGCACAUUGCGCCCCCUGGCAUUCCGGGGGGCAUGCCUGUCCGAGCGUCAUUGCUGCCCUCAAGCCCGGCUUGUGUGUUGGGUCGUCGUCCCCCCCGGGGGACGGGCCCGCAAGGCAGCGGCGGCACCGUGUCCGGUCCUCGAGCGCAUGGCGCUUUGUACCCCGCUCGAUUAGGGCCGGCCGGGCGCCAGCCGGCGUCUCCAACCUUAUUUAUCUCAGAUUGACCUCGGAUCAGGUAGGGAUACCCGCUGAACUUAA